rnacentral:lncRNA from 1 species
GGGAAAGUCUGACCAGUAAAGAGUAUCACACCCCCGUCUCCUGCUGGCUUCUCCAUCACCCUUUGCCAACUUCAAGUGUUAGAAACUCCCCAGACAGAAUGAAUACCAGAAAGGAGGACUCUUGGGGAAGCGGUGAUGGAUGAGACAGCAGCAAUGUUUGAAAGCAAAGCAUGUCUACGGACAAGAUGCAGUGUGCUCCGGGUAGUAUGGCUUUCGGCAAAGCAUGUUGGGAAGGAGACACUGUGAAGAGGGGGCUGUCCCAUCAUCGGAAACAUGAAGUUCUAACCCCAAGGCUCCCUGAGGGGAAGCAGC